rnacentral:rRNA from 1 species
UACGUAGGGUGCAAGCGGUGUCCGGAAUUAUUGGGCGUAAAGAGCUCGUAGGCGGUUCGUCGCGUCGGCUGUGAAAUCCCGAGGCUCAACCUCGGGUCUGCAGUCGAUACGGGCGGACUGGAGUUCGGCAGGGGAGACUGGAAUUCCUGGUGUAGCGGUGAAAUGCGCAGAUAUCAGGAGGAACACCGGUGGCGAAGGCGGGUCUCUGGGCCGAUACUGACGCUGAGGAGCGAAAGCGUGGGGAGCGAACAGG